rnacentral:rRNA from 1 species
UGCCAGCCGCCGCGGUAAUACGGAGGGUGCAAGCGUUGCCCGGAUUUACUGGGUUUAAAGGGUACGUAGGCGGCUAAUUAAGUCAGUGGUGAAAUGUGUCGGCUCAACCGGCAACGUGCCAUUGAAACUGAAUAGCUGGAGUGUUGUAUAGGUGGGCGGAAUUGAUGGUGUAGCGGUGAAAUGCAUAGAUACCAUCAAGAACACCAAUUGCGAAGGCAGCUCACUAAGCUACGAUUGACGCUGAGGCACGAAAGCGUGGGGAGCGAACAGGAUUAGAUA